rnacentral:tRNA from 1 species
GCGCCCGUGGCGCAAUUGGAUAGCGCAUCUGAUUUCGGCUCAGAGGGUUGGGGGUUCAAAUCCCUCCGGGCGCG